CCUACGGGUGGCAGCAGUGAGGAAUAUUGGUCAAUGGACGAGAGUCUGAACCAGCCAAGUAGCGUGAAGGAUGACUGCCCUGUGGGUUGUAGACUUCUUUUAUCAGGGAAUAAAACGCGGCACGUGUGCCUUUUUGCAUGUACUUUAUGAAUAAGGAUCGGCUAACUCCGUGCCAGCAGCCGCGGUAAUACGGAGGAUCCGAGCGUUAUCCGGAUUUAUUGGGUUUAAAGGGUGCGUAGAUGGGUUGUUAAGUCAGUUGUGAAAGUUUGCGGCUCAACCGUAAAAUUGCAAUUGAUACUGGCAGUCUUGAGUACAGUUGAGGUAGGCGGAAUGCGUGGUGUAGCGGUGAAAUGCAUAGAUAUCACGAAGAACCCCGAUUGCGAAGGCAGCGUACUAAGCGGUGACUGACGUUGAGGCACGAAAGUGUGGGGAUCAAACAGGAUUAGAUACCCUGGUAGUC
rnacentral:rRNA from 1 species